CGCGAUUCGCCCUUCGGGGUGCAGCAGGCGCGAAAACUUUACAAUGCCGGCAACGGCGAUAAGGGAACCUCGAGUGCCAGGUUACAAAUCUGGCUGUCGUGAUGCCUAAAAAGCAUUGCAUAGCAAGGGCCGGGCAAGACCGGUGCCAGCCGCCGCGGUAACACCGGCGGCUCGAGUGGUAACCGUUAUUAUUGGGUCUAAAGGGUCUGUAGCCGGCCGGAUAAGUCUCUUGGGAAAUCUGGCAGCUUAACUGUCAGGCUUUCAGGAGAUACUGUCUGGCUCGAGGCCGGGAGAGGUGAGAGGUACUUCAGGGGUAGGGGUGAAAUCUUGUAAUCCUUGAAGGACCACCAGUGGCGAAGGCGUCUCACCAGAACGGACCUGACGGCAAGGGACGAAAGCUAGGGGCACGAACCGGAUUAGAUACCCGGGUAGUCCUAGCCGUAAACGAUACUCGCUAGGUGUCGGCCACGGUGCGACCGUGGUCGGUGCCGUAGGGAAGCCGUGAAGCGAGCCACCUGGGAAGUACGGCCGCAAGGCUGAAACUUAAAGGAAUUGGCGGGGGAGCAC
rnacentral:rRNA from 1 species